AUCAAAAUACUGGAAAAAUGACUAUGUUGUUUAUAUUUAAGAAUAUAGAACUUUAUCAUUUCUAAGUUUUAUAUAGUUCUUAUUUCAAAUAGUAUAUAUUGCAGCAUUUGUUGUAAAUAUGAACACUUUGGCAGAUGCAGUACAUGGCACAUUAACUAGACUGGUUUAGCCACCAGAAGGCAUUCACUUAAGUUUCAUUUGGGAGCCAUUGAAUUAGAUUUGAUAUCUCUUAGUAAUAACGGUGUCAGUUUCUACAGUUUCUAGCAAGCAAACCUUUCACUCUCGCACAACACAUGUAUUCUUUAAACAGUGCUUCUUAAACUCUUGUAAUAUCCCAGGCCCCGUAUUCACAGAUUCUCAGAGUAGAAGUGCUAAUCUAGGAUCAGGUCCCAGCUGUCCAAAUAAUCUUAUUCAUUAUGAAUUAACAGACCCACCAGAUCUUAAAUCAGCACAUAUACUCUGAAACGUUUUGUGAAUACAGGUUCAUGUAUUCAGUUAAGGCCUCAAACCAACAACAAUUGUGGAUGUGUUAAUGUGUUUGAGCCAAAACAGUAACAUAUUUUGUCAACAACAGUAUUGCCACUUUGUAUCAGUGCUUUGUAUCCACAGCAUGUGUUCAAACCAACAGUGGAGAUGUGCUAACUGGGAAUGUCUACUAUGGCUUACUUUUAUGAGGAUUGCCAUGGUUACCAGAUUAAAGGACCAGUCCGCUAUCUUUUUGAUGCUUUGUAGCCACAUGAAUGGUCCUCAGACUCAGUGUGUUGUAUUUGUACAUUUUCAAUUAGGGGGAGUAAAACAAUAAGAUUAUUGUUUUUGGCACAUAGAAAACAGUUUGGGUAGUUUUAAGUGAAUGAAAGAGGAAUUUUCUGUUAGUCUGCAUGUCUCUUCAUAAUAAGUCUAAUUAUUUUCGUGUGUACAUUUGAAUUAAGGUAUUUCAUGAUCAAAAGGCUCUGUUUUGAUUCUGUUAUUAUACUGUUCAUAUCAAAAGGGAAUAUAGGCUAUUAUAAACGGUGUUUAAAUAACUUACGACAAGCAUAUUUAUUUGAAACAAUACAGUAUUUAGAAUGUAGGCCUACUUCCCUAAUAGGUUCCAACAAGAACCAAUAUCAUUUUACAGUCAUGUCUUUGGAAUUGUUUGUAAAUCCUCAUUUUCUUUCGUGAGGGCCUCUGGUUAACGUUGCCUCUCUUAGUACUCUGUGUUUAGGAGGGAUUCGGUCAUAUUUUGCUCCCAGGGGUCUUCUUGCAAUAAACAGAUUUACAUACAGUACAA
rnacentral:lncRNA from 1 species